CCAUACCACUCUGAACAUGCCUUGUUUUCAUCUGAUCAAGCUAAGCAGGGUCGGUCAUGGUUUGUACUUGGAUGGGAGACAGCCUGGGAAAAGGUGGUG
rnacentral:rRNA from 1 species